AUGGAGAGUGGUAUGUGCAUGGAGGACAGGGGAUGGGCGACAAUUUUCUGGAGUCUCUGAUAAACGUUGCUGUGACCCUACAACUGCUGUAAACUGGUUAGAAGUGGCCUUGGAGGAAAGAACCAGAACCAGGAAAGGAUUCGGAGGAGGGGGCUGGAGAGAUGGCUCAGCGGUUAGGAGCACCGACUGCUCUUCUGAAGGUCCUAAGUUCAAAUCCCAGCAACCACAUGGUGGCUCACAACCAUCUGUAACAAGAUCUGACUCCCUCUUCUGGGGUGUCUGAAGACAGCUAGAGUGUACUUACAUAUAAUAAAGAAAUAAAUCUUAAAAAAAAAAAGAUUCAGGGGAGGUUUGUUGCUGCUGCUGCUGCUACUACUACUGCCUGGCUAUCGUCAUUUGUUUGAGAGAGAGAGAGUCUUGGCAUAUAG
rnacentral:lncRNA from 1 species